GACAGAGGGUGCAAACGUUGUUCGGAAUUACUGGGCGUAAAGCGCGUGUAGGCGGCCCUGCAAGUCGGAUGUGAAAUCCCACGGCUCAACCGUGGAAGUGCAUUCGAAACUGCAGGGCUAGAGUCCUGGAGAGGAAGGUGGAAUGCUUGGUGUAGAGGUGAAAUUCGUAGAUAUCAAGCGGAACACCGGUGGCGAAGGCGGCCCUCUGGACAGUGACUGACGCUGAGACGCGAAAGCGUGGGGAGCAAACAGG
rnacentral:rRNA from 1 species